CCGGAUCCCGGCUCGGCGCGACGCGCACCGGAGGGGGGGUCGGGCGGGGAAAGUGGCGCCGGCCCGGACCCCCCGCGGGAGGGCGGGCGAGGCAGCGGCCACGGCCGCAGACGCAGCGAUCAGCGGCUGCGGGGCAGUUCUUUUAACCUCUUCAAGAUCUUCAUCGUGAUUUGUGUAUCUGGCUGGACAAGGAAUCUUAGUUGAAGUUUCACUAAUUGAAAAUUUGGAGAUUUCCAGACUACUGAAAAGAAGGUGCUUUGAGAGAUGGAGUUGUGAAAAAUAUUCCUGUGCCAGGGAUCAUAAACCAUCCUUUGAGGUAUU